CAGCAUGGUCUUAGCUUGCUAAGACUGAUGGCGACCGGCGCACGGGUGAGUAACGCGUAUCCAACCUGCCGAUGACUCGGGGAUAGCCUUUCGAAAGAAAGAUUAAUACCCGAUGGCAUAAUUCUUCCGCAUGGUAGAAUUAUUAAAGAAUUUCGGUCAUCGAUGGGGAUGCGUUCCAUUAGGCAGUUGGUGAGGUAACGGCUCACCAAACCUUCGAUGGAUAGGGGUUCUGAGAGGAAGGUCCCCACAUUGGAACUGAGACACGGUCCAAACUCC
rnacentral:rRNA from 1 species